rnacentral:sRNA from 1 species
UCAUGCAUAUGACGUGGACUACCAAUGU